rnacentral:ribozyme from 11 species
AGAGAGAAAGAAAGAAAGAAAGAAAGAAAGAAAGAAGAAAUGUGUGACUCGUAUUUAUGGAUGUGGAGAGCCCAUUGUUUUUGUGUUGUGCU